GUCAGGGUAAAAACGCGGGUUUUCUCUAUAUCAGAGAGGUGUAGACUUCCUGCACACAAAUAUAUAUCAUUACCUUUAAUCCAUGCUAAAGGGGUUUAUCGUUUACAAUUUUUACGCAGACGCAUUUGGGUGAAAUUACGCACGGUUUUGGGUGAUGAAGCUGGUUAAAGUUGUAUUGGUUGUGCUGCUUCUGACAAAUGUUUACUGUCAAGAAAUGGAUGUUGACAACUGGAGGGACAGAGUCGGAGAGGACAAAUGGCCAAACUCUGGAGUGGUUCAAGAUAUGUUAGUGAGACUGACCAGAAAGCCAGGACCGCGCCAGUAUCUCGGACUCAUGGGGAAGAGAGAUUACGCAAAAACGCAGACAGCACGUAAACGACAUAAAUUCCAAACCUUCGUGGGUCUGAUGGGUAAAAGAAGCUUUGAGGAUCAAGGAGCCCAGUGAGCUGCACAGAUGAUCUGAAGAUCUACAUUUGUUUUCUUUGUUUCAUUUCAGAACAAAAAAUAUAUUUUGUUUAGUCUGUCUGUCAUUGUUUCAUUAAAAAUGUGAUAUACAACAGUGGAUUGUGACACAGCUGCCAACACUGAGAAGCUUCAGACCAACAGCGCUGUCUAGUGUUAAAAUAAAAUGAUGGAAAAUGCAUCACUGAAGCAUACCCAACAGUGAUAUUUGAAUGUAAAAACAGUGUUAUGUAAAAAUAAAAGUGUCCACACCAGUUUCCAU